rnacentral:rRNA from 1 species
AACGAACGCUGGUGGUAUGCUUAACACAUGCAAGUCGAACGGAACUUUGGGAGCUUGCUCCUAAAGUUUAGUGGCAAACGGGUGAGUAAUACACAGGAAUCUACCUAGCAGUAAGGAAUAACCCUGGGAAACCAGAGCUAAUGCCAUAUAUUACCGCCAAGAGAAAUUUUGGCGGGAAAGAUUUAUCGCUGUUAGAUGAGCCUGUGCAAGAUUAGCUUGUUGGUAGGGUAAUGGCCUACCAAGGCGAUGAUCUUUAGCUGGUCUGAGAGGAUGAUCAGCCACACUGGGACUGCGACACGGCCCAGACUCCUACGGGAGGCAGCAGUGGGGAAUAUUGGACAAUGGGCGAAAGCCUGAUCCAGCAAUACCACGUGAGUGAUGAAGGCCUCGGUGUAAACGUACUUUAGUUAGGUAGAGUAAUAGACGUACGUAC